rnacentral:rRNA from 1 species
GACGUAGGGCGCGAGCGUUGUCCGGAUUUAUUGGGCGUAAAGAGCUCGUAGGCGGCUUGUCGCGUCAACUGUGAAAACCCGUGGCUCAACCAUGUGGUCUGCAGUCGAUACGGGCAGGCUAGAAUUCGGUAGGGGAGACUGGAAUUCCUGGUGUAGCGGUGAAAUGCGCAGAUAUCAGGAGGAACACCGGUGGCGAAGGCGGGUCUCUGGGCCUGUACUGACGCUGAGGAGCGAAAGCGUGGGGAGCGAACAGG